rnacentral:rRNA from 1 species
GACGAACGCUGGCGGCGUGCUUAACACAUGCAAGUCGAACGGAAAGGCCCUGCUUUUUUGCGCUGCUCGGGGGGCGGACGGGGGAGUAACACGUGAGUAACGUGCCCUUGACUUUGGGGGGACUUCAUGAAGGUUAGGCUAAUACCGUCUAGGAUCUCCUGCUUCUGGGUGGGCGGGGGAUAGUUUAGGUGGUUGGGGAUGGACUGGCGGCUUAUGGGCUUGUUAGUGGGGUAGUGGAUGACCAAGACUUGGACGGGUAGCCGGCCUGAGAGGGUGACCGGCCACAUUGCGACUGAGAUAAGGCACAGACUCGUAUGGGAGGCAAGGGUGGGGAAUAUUAUACAAUGGGAGGGAGUCUGAUGUGGCAACGCAGCGUGCGGGAAGACGGGCUUCGGGUUGUGAACAGCAUCCGUCUGUGACGAAGCGUGAGUGACGGUAACGGGUAAAGAAGCACCGGCUAACUCCGUG